AAUUCUCAACCUUUUAUUAGCCUUUUGGUUAAUAAAUGGCUUGGAUGUGGGAGUUUGCCGGUUUCUCUUAUGAAAUCAGCUCUCCUCAAAUGCAUUAGCUGGUUGCCUUGUGUAAACUAGUCUAUUGGUGUGAUAAUUAUCUACGCUGUGGACUGUUUGCCGCCUUUAGCACUGCUUCUAAUCGUCUAUUGACUUGGACAAUUUAUGACA
rnacentral:misc_RNA from 1 species